rnacentral:rRNA from 1 species
UACGGAGGGUGCGAGCGUUAAUCGGAAUUACUGGGCGUAAAGGGUGCGUAGGUGGUUUAAUAAGUUAAGUGUGAAAGCCCUGGGCUCAACCUAGGAAGGCCAUUUAAGACUGUUAGACUUGAGUGUAGGAGAGGGUAGUGGAAUUUCCGGUGUAGCGGUGAAAUGCGUAGAGAUCGGAAGGAACACCAGUGGCGAAGGCGGCUACCUGGCCGGACACUGACACUGAAGCACGAAAGCGUGGGGAGCAAACAGGAUUAGAUACCCUGGUAGUCCACGCUGUAAACGAUGUCAACUAGCUGUUGGCCUCAUAGAAGGGGUUAGUGGCGCAGCUAACGCGAUAAGUUGACCGCCUGGGGAGUACGAUCGCAAGAUUA